rnacentral:rRNA from 1 species
GACGAACGCUGGCGGCGUGCCUAAUACAUGCAAGUUGAGCGCUGAAGGUUGGUCCUUGUACCAACUGGAUGAGCAGCGAACGGGUGAGUAACGCGUGGGGAAUCUGCCUUUGAGCGGGGGACAACAUUUGGAAACGAAUGCUAAUACCGCAUAAAAUCUUUAAACACAAGUUUUAAGUUUGAAAGAUGCAAUUGCAUCACUCAAAGAUGAUCCCGCGUUGUAUUAGCUAGUUGGUGAGGUAAAGGCUCACCAAGGCGAUGAUACAUAGCCGACCUGAGAGGGUGAUCGGCCACAUUGGGACUGAGACACGGCCCAAACUCCUACGGGAGGCAGCAGUAGGGAAUCUUCGGCAAUGGACGAAAGUCUGACCGAGCAACGCCGCGUGAGUGAAGAAGGUUUUCGGAUCGUAAAACUCUGUUGGUAGAGAAGAACGUUGGUGAGAGUGGAAAGCUCAUCAAGUGACGGUAACUACCCAGAAAGGGACGGCUAACUACGUG